GCCUGGGUGGCUCAGUCGGUUGAGCAUCCGACUUCAGCUCAGGUCAUGAUCUCACAGUCCGUGAGUUCGAGCCCCACGUCGGGCU
rnacentral:tRNA from 1 species